GGCGAACGGGUGAGUAACACGUGAGUAACCUGCCCUUGACUUUGGGAUAACUUCAGGAAACUGGGGCUAAUACCGGAUAGGAGCUCCUGCUGCAUGGUGGGGUUGGAAAGUUUCGGCGGUUGGGGAUGGACUCGCGGCUUAUCAGCUUGUUGGUGGGGUAGUGGCUUACCAAGGCUUUGACGGGUAGCCGGCCUGAGAGGGUGACCGGCCACAUUGGGACUGAGAUACGGCCCAG
rnacentral:rRNA from 1 species